rnacentral:rRNA from 1 species
CACGUAGGCGGGUCUUUAAGUCGGGGUGAAAUCCUGGAGCUCAACUCCAGAACUGCCUUCGAUACUGAGGAUCUCGAGUCCGGGAAAGGUGAGUGGAACUCCGAGUGUAGAGGUGAAAUUCGUAGAUAUUCGGAAGAACACCAGUGGCGAAGGCGGCUCACUGGCCCGGUACUGACGCUGAGGUGCGAAAGCGUGGGGAAGCAAACA